AUACAAGUCACCAUGAAUCUUGCUAAAAAUGCAGAUUCUGGUUCAAUAGGUCUGGCUUCUGAGAUGCUGCAUUUCUAACAACCUUCUAGGUGAUGUUGCU
rnacentral:miRNA from 1 species